AUGCUGCUGCUGCUCUCCGUCUUCACUAGGAAGUACUCGAACACAUCCUCGAACACUUCACUGCUGCUGCUGCUUUCCGUCUUGACUAGGAAGUACUCGAACACAUCCUCAAACACUUCCCUGCUGCUGCUGCUGCUCUCCGUCUUCACUGCUAAGUACUUGAACACAUCCUCAAACACUUCACUGCUGCUGCUGCUGCUCUCCGUCUUCACUAGGAAGUACUCGAACACAUCCUCGAACACUUCACUGCGGCUGCUGCUCUCCGUCUUCACUAGGAAGUACUCAAACAUAUCCUUGAACACUUCACUGCUACUGCUGCUCUCUGUCUUCACUAGGAAGUACUCGAACAUAUCCUCGAACACUUCACUGCUGCUGCUCUCCGUCUUCACUGGGAAGUACUCGAACACAUCCUCGAACACUUCACUGCUGCUGCUGCUGCUCUCCGUCUUCACAAGGAAGUACUCAAAGGUGUAUUCGAACACUUCACUGCUACUGCUCUCUGUCUUCACUAGGAAGUACUCAAACACAUCCUCGAACACUUCACUGCUGCUGCUGCUCUCCGUCUUCACUAGGAAGUACUCAAACACAUCCUCGAACAUUUCACUGCUGCUGCCGCUCUCCGUCUUCACUAGGAAGUACUCAAAGGUGUCUUCAAACGCUUCACUGCUGCUCUCCGUCUUCACAAGGAAGUACUCAAAGGUGUAUUCGAACACUUCACUGCUACUGCUCUCUGUCUUCACUAGGAAGUACUCAAACACAUCCUCGAACACUUCACUGCUGCUGCUGCUCUCCGUCUUCACUAGGAAGUACUCAAACACAUUCUCGAACAUUUCACUGCUGCUGCCGCUCUCCGUCUUCACUAGGAAGUACUCAAAGGUGUCUUCAAACGCUUCACUGCUGCUCCCCGUCUUCACAAGGAAGUACUCAAAGGUGAUGAACAUAAUUAACAGCAAUUAUUAUGUGAUGCAAUCACACUUGGAGCAAUCUUUGUUAGUUCUGUUUGAAGAUUCAGGGUUAGCAUCAUCUGGGUCCUCCUAG
rnacentral:lncRNA from 1 species